CAGACAUUUAUUUUUAUCCAGUUUCUUUCCAAGGUGAAGAUAACUCUUUGUAAACGUCCUAAAGUCAUGUAGACUGUAGUAACUUUCUGUUCACACUUUACAAAUAAAAAGGGUGGAUCAUUCUACUAAUGACAUUU
rnacentral:snoRNA from 1 species